AGAGUUUGAUCCUGGCUCAGGACGAACGCUGGCGGCGUGCUUAACACAUGCAAGUCGAACGGUUCGGAGGUCAGUCGUCAGAGGUCAGAGGUUGGAGUAAGAAGGAAUUCGCAAAGCGAAUUCCAACAAAAAUCCGACAUCCGAUUUCCGAUGACUGACUUCCGAGUAGUGGCGGACGGGUGAGUAACGCGUGGAUAACCUGCCUAUCAGCCUGGGACAACACCGGGAAACUGGUGCUAAUACCGGGUACGCUCUUUUGAACACAUGUUUGAGAGGGGAAAGGAGUAAUCCGCUGAUAGAUGGGUCCGCGUCCCAUUAGCUAGUUGGAGGUGUAAUGGACCCCCAAGGCGACGAUGGGUAGCCGGCCUGAGAGGGUGGACGGCCACACUGGAACUGAGACACGGUCCAGACUCCUACGGGAGGCAGCAGUGGGGAAUCUUCCGCAAUGGGCGAAAGCCUGACGGAGCAACGCCGC
rnacentral:rRNA from 1 species